rnacentral:tRNA from 1 species
CGCUUUUUGGUAGGGUAAUUAAGCCAAUUGCUGGGGAUGAUUGGAAUUGCUUAAGUGCAAGUUUUUUAAAGGCGC